GGGGCAGGGGCUGACAUGGGGGUCCCCCCCAGGCCUGCCGUGCCCCCCCUUGCAGAGCGAGAGCAAUUCCUUCUGGGACGUGAGCCCCCUCGGCCUGGGGGGGCCCCGCAGAGGUGACGACAGCUCCGAGGAGGACUCUGCCGAGUGUCCCUGUCCCGGGGGGAUCCCCGGCCGCUGCCUCCGCUCCCCCCGGGGGGGCUGCGAGUGCCCCUCCCGGCUUUCAACCGGACCCCACCCGCACCCGCUGCCUCGAUAUCGACCGAGUGUCGGGACCCCCGGGGGGGUCCCCGCUGUCCCCGCGAGCGCUGCAUCAACACGAGCGGCUCCUUCCCGCUGCGCCUGCAAAGCCGGGACCAGCAGGGCCCGCCCGGGGGGGCUCUGCCUGCCCCAGCGCCGCUGAAACCCUCCCCGGAGACCCUCCGGGACCUCCCCGGGACCACCCGGGCCCGGCCCCAGCGCCGCUGAGCCCCCCCCCCGGGACCCUCCGGGAUCCCCCGGACCCCAAUAAAGGACGUGGGGGAACGGC